GGGUUGCUGUACCUGAGUCAGGUGAAGAGCCACAAAGGCCGGUGAAACAGCUGUGCAGCUGUCUGUCAACAUGUUUUUGACGUGCUGAAUGAACAUCAACAUAUGAAGUGCUGUUUGAAAAAGAGAAAUUCAAAAGUUUGCUGUCUGUUGCUUUUGGCCGGAUCAUCUGCCAGGGAGGACGAGCAAGAUAGUGGAAACCCUGGAAUGUGGGGGCAGAUAGACUCAGUUGGUCGAGGAGGGGGUGGUAUGAAGUGUCAUAAGGAAUGCCUGAGCCCUGUUCACAUUUGAUCAGCUUUGCAUCUCUGUCCCCGUCAGCCACUUCUCACUCAGUAAACAUAGACAGACAACUAGUUGGGGUAAGGUUGAGGUCAAAUUAAGCAUCAUAAGUCACUACUAGUUUAGGGAUCAGGUUAGGCUCAGGAUAAGGUAAAGGGAAUCAGUUUGACAAGGAAAUAGUCUUCACUCCCCCCUUGUUGUCUUGUGCUCUAAAGCUCACCAAUCUCUCUCCCCUUCUUCUGCCAUUGUCCAUCCAUCUAAUGGUCAUUCUUCAUCUCAUUGCUCCCAAUCACCUGACUCUCACACCGCUUCCUUGCACGUUGUUCAUGUCACUAACUUGCCAUAAUGCUCUUGUUAUCCUGCCUCUAAACUCUUCUUAUUUUGGUCCUUGUAUCACUUUCAAGUCAUAUGUUCCUCUGUUUUUUCUUUAACCUUUUGCCUGCUCUGAGCCUGAAUCAUGACACGAAGGGUGUGAAGGUAGAUGACACAUUCAUUAUCAGAUGCUGUGGAUUGCUGUCAUGCCCACUUCAAAAUGUGAGGCUCUUGUGUUUUCAGCAGCGGGAGAUGUAAGACAUACAGUGUGAUUAAAUUAUUUUGUGUUAAGUAUAACGUUGACUAUAAAGGCACCAAUUACUGGACAUUACAAUGAGAAUAAACUCACUUUUAGUGACCUCAACUUUA